ACACUCCUACGGGAGGCAGCAGUGGGGAAUAUUGGACAAUGGGCGCAAGCCUGAUCCAGCCAUGCCGCGUGAGUGAUGAAGGCCCUAGGGUUGUAAAGCUCUUUCACCGGUGAAGAUAAUGACGGUAACCGGAGAAGAAGCCCCGGCUAACUUCGUGCCAGCAGCCGCGGUAAUACGAAGGGGGCUAGCGUUGUUCGGAUUUACUGGGCGUAAAGCGCACGUAGGCGGACUAUUAAGUCAGGGGUGAAAUCCCGGGGCUCAACCCCGGAACUGCCUUUGAUACUGGUAGUCUUGAGUUCGAGAGAGGUGAGUGGAAUUCCGAGUGUAGAGGUGAAAUUCGUAGAUAUUCGGAGGAACACCAGUGGCGAAGGCGGCUCACUGGCUCGAUACUGACGCUGAGGUGCGAAAGCGUGGGGAGCAAACAGGAUUAGAAACCCCGGUAGUCCCAU
rnacentral:rRNA from 1 species